UACGUAGGGUGCAAGCGUUGUCCGGAAUUAUUGGGCGUAAAGAGCUUGUAGGCGGUUUGUCGCGUCUGCUGUGAAAUUUCGGGGCUCAACCCCGAACUUGCAGUGGGUACGGGCAGACUAGAGUGUGGUAGGGGAGACUGGAAUUCCUGGUGUAGCGGUGAAAUGCGCAGAUAUCAGGAGGAACACCGAUGGCGAAGGCAGGUCUCUGGGCCAUAACUGACGCUGAGAAGCGAAAGCAUGGGAAGCGAACAGG
rnacentral:rRNA from 1 species